CCCCCCUGUGGGGCCACCCUCCCAUCCCAGAGGUGCCAGAUUUCUGUGGAGGUCCGACUGUGGUGCCCCUCCAGGCCUCGUCAGUCCAGAGGCCUAGCUGCCCACUACUGGGACCAGCAAAUGCCCCCUGAAGCUGGAAACUGUGGCCCCCACAGUGGCUUUCCCAAGGCAUUGGUUAUA